rnacentral:rRNA from 1 species
AGAUUGAACGCUGGCGGCAGGCCUAACACAUGCAAGUCGAGCGGCAGCACGGGUACUUGUACCUGGUGGCGAGCGGCGGACGGGUGAGUAAUGCCUAGGAAUCUGCCUGGUAGUGGGGGAUAACGCUCGGAAACGGACGCUAAUACCGCAUACGUCCUACGGGAGAAAGCAGGGGACCUUCGGGCCUUGCGCUAUCAGAUGAGCCUAGGUCGGAUUAGCUAGUUGGUGAGGUAAUGGCUCACCAAGGCGACGAUCCGUAACUGGUCUGAGAGGAUGAUCAGUCACACUGGAACUGAGACACGGUCCAGACUCCUACGGGAGGCAGCAGGUGGGGAAUA